GAUCAUGGCUCAGGAUGAACGCUAGCGACAGGCUUAACACAUGCAAGUCGAGGGGCAGCAUGAGGUAGCAAUACCUUGAUGGCGACCGGCGCACGGGUGAGUAACGCGUAUGCAACCUGCCCGAUACCGGGGUAUAGCCCAUGGAAACGUGGAUUAACACCCCAUAGUACUUUUAUCCUGCCUGGGAUGUGAGUUAAAUGUUCAGGGUAUCGGAUGGGCAUGCGUCCUAUUAG
rnacentral:rRNA from 1 species